GGAGCAGUGGGGAAUAUUGCACAAUGGGCGCAAGCCUGAUGCAGCGACGCCGCGUGAGGGAUGACGGCCUUCGGGUUGUAAACCUCUUUCACCAGGGACGAAGCGUGAGUGACGGUACCUGGAGAAGAAGCACCGGCCAACUACGUGCCAGCAGCCGCGGUAAUACGUAGGGUGCGAGCGUUGUCCGGAAUUACUGGGCGUAAAGAGCUCGUAGGCGGUUUGUCGCGUCGUCUGUGAAAUUCUGCAACUCAAUUGCAGGCGUGCAGGCGAUACGGGCAGACUUGAGUACUACAGGGGAGACUGGAAUUCCUGGUGUAGCGGUGAAAUGCGCAGAUAUCAGGAGGAACACCGGUGGCGAAGGCGGGUCUCUGGGUAGUAACUGACGCUGAGGAGCGAAAGCGUGGGUAGCGAACAGGAUUAGAUACCCUGGUAGUCCACGCCGUAAACGGUGGGUACUAGGUGUGGGUUCCUUUUCACGGGAUCCGUGCCGUAGCUAACGCAUUAAGUACCCCGCCUGGAGACGCCCACCCCC
rnacentral:rRNA from 1 species